rnacentral:rRNA from 1 species
UACGUAGGGGGCAAGCGUUGUCCGGAUUUAUUGGGCGUAAAGAGCGUGUAGGCGGCCAUACAGGUCAGCUGUGAAAACUCGAGGCUCAACCUCGAGACGUCGGUUGAAACCGUAUGGCUAGAGUCCGGAAGAGGAGAGUGGAAUUCCCGGUGUAGCGGUGAAAUGCGCAGAUAUCAGGAAGAACACCAAUGGCGAAAGCAGCUCUCUGGGACGGUACUGACGCUGAGACGCGAAAGCGUGGGGAGCGAACAGG